AGUCUCUGGAUAUAGACCCGAAACCAGGUGAUCUAGCCAUGGGCAGGUUGAAGGUUGAGUAACAUCAACUGGAGGACCGAACCGACUAAUGUUGAAAAAUUAGCGGAUGACUUGUGGCUAGGGGUGAAAGGCCAAUCAAACCUGGAGAUAGCUGGUUCUCCCCGAAAGCUAUUUAGGUAGCGCCUCGGACGAAUACUACUGGGGGUAGAGCACUGUUAAGGCUAGGGGGUCAUCCCGACUUACCAACCCUUUGCAAACUCCGAAUACCAGUAAGUACUAUCCGGGAGACACACGGCGGGUGCUAACGUCCGUCGUGGAGAGGGAAACAACCCAGACCGCCAGCUAAGGUCCCAAAUUACUACUAAGUGGGAAACGAUGUGGGAAGGCUCAGACAGCCAGGAUGUUGGCUUAGAAGCAGCCAUCAUUUAAAGAAAGCGUAAUAGCUCACUGGUCGAGUCGGCCUGCGCGGAAGAUGUAACGGGGCUAAGUAGUAAACCGAAGCUGCGGCAAUAUACUUUUGUAUAUUGGGUAGGGGAGCGUUCUGUAAGCGGUUGAAGGUGUGUGGUAACGCAUGCUGGACGUAUCAGAAGUGCGAAUGCUGACAUGAGUAACGAUAAAGGGGGUGAAAAACCUCCUCGCCGGAAGACCAAGGGUUCCUGUCCAACGUUAAUCGGGGCAGGGUAAGUCGACCCCUAAGGCGAGGCCGAAAGGCGUAGUCGAUGGGAAACGGGUUAAUAUUCCCGUACUUCUUACAAUUGCGAUGGGGGGACGGAGAAGGCUAGGUGGGCCUGGCGACGGUUGUCCAGGUUCAAGUGCGUAGGCUGAGAGAUUAGGUAAAUCCGGUUUCUCUUAAGGCUGAGACACGACGUCGAGCACCUACGGGUGUGAAGUCAUUGAUGCCAUGCUUCCAGGAAAAGCCUCUAAGCUUCAGAUUGUAAGGAAUCGUACCCCAAACCGACACAGGUGGUCGGGUAGAGAAUACCAAGGCGCUUGAGAGAACUCGGGUGAAGGAACUAGGCAAAAUGGUACCGUAACUUCGGGAGAAGGUACGCUCUUGAUGGUGAAGUCCCUCGCGGAUGGAGCUGACGAGAGUCGCAGAUACCAGGUGGCUGCAACUGUUUAUUAAAAACACAGCACUGUGCAAAAUCGUAAGAUGACGUAUACGGUGUGACGCCUGCCCGGUGCCGGAAGGUUAAUUGAUGGGGUUAGACUUCGGUCGAAGCUCUUGAUCGAAGCCCCGGUAAACGGCGGCCGUAACUAUAACGGUCCUAAGGUAGCGAAAUUCCUUGUCGGGUAAGUUCCGACCUGCACGAAUGGCGUAAUGAUGGCCACGCUGUCUCCACCCGAGACUCAGUGAAAUUGAAAUCGCUGUGAAGAUGCAGUGUACCCGCGGCUAGACGGAAAGACCCCGUGAACCUUUACUACAGCUUGGCACUGAACAUUGACCCUACAUGUGUAGGAUAGGUGGGAGGCUUUGAAGCACGUACGCCAGUAUGUGUGGAGCCGUCCUUGAAAUACCACCCUUGUAGUGUUGAUGUUCUAACGUCGACCCCUAAUCGGGGUUGCGGACAGUGCCUGGUGGGUAGUUUGACUGGGGCGGUCUCCUCCCAAAGAGUAACGGAGGAGCACGAAGGUGGGCUAAUCACGGUUGGACAUCGUGAGGUUAGUGCAAUGGCAUAAGCCCGCUUGACUGCGAGAAUGACAAUUCGAGCAGGUGCGAAAGCAGGUCAUAGUGAUCCGGUGGUUCUGAAUGGAAGGGCCAUCGCUCAACGGAUAAAAGGUACUCCGGGGAUAACAGGCUGAUACCGCCCAAGAGUUCAUAUCGACGGCGGUGUUUGGCACCUCGAUGUCGGCUCAUCACAUCCUGGGGCUGAAGUCGGUCCCAAGGGUAUGGCUGUUCGCCAUUUAAAGUGGUACGCGAGCUGGGUUUAGAACGUCGUGAGACAGUUCGGUCCCUAUCUGCCGUGGGCGUUGGAAGAUUGAAGGGGGCUGCUCCUAGUACGAGAGGACCGGAGUGGACGAACCUCUGGUGUUCGGGUUGUGUCGCCAGACGCAUUGCCCGGUAGCUAAGUUCGGAAUCGAUAACCGCUGAAAGCAUCUAAGCGGGAAGCGAGCCCUGAGAUGAGUCUUCCCUGAUACUUUAAGUAUCCUAAAGGGUUGUCGGAGACUACGACGUUGAUAGGUCAGGUGUGUAAGUGCUGUGAGGCAUUGAGCUAACUGAUACUAAUUGCCCGUGAGGCUUAACCAUACAACACCCAAGGGGUUU
rnacentral:rRNA from 1 species